rfam:Dipodomys ordii contig_40455, whole genome shotgun sequence.
GUCAAAGUAGCUCAGUGGUAGAGCACUUGCCUGGCAUGCAUGAGGCCCUGGGUUCAAUUCCUCAGCAUCACA